UGAGCAACCUGCCCUUGACUCUGGAAUAACAGCUGGAAACAGCUGCUAAUACCGGAUACGACCUCCGAUGGCAUCAUCUGGAGGUGGAAAGCUCCGACGGUCAAGGAUGGGCUCGCGGCCUAUCAGCUUGUUGGUGAGGUAACGGCUCACCAAGGCUUCGACGGGUAGCCGGCCUGAGGAGGGUGACCCGGCCACACUGGGACUGAGACACGGCCCAGACCUNACGGGAG
rnacentral:rRNA from 1 species